CCCUUAGAUGUCCUGGGCCGCACGCGCGCUACACUGAUGCAUGCAACGAGUUUAUAACCUUGGCCUGAAAGGUCUGGGUAAUCUUUUGAACGUGCAUCGUGAUAGGGAUAGAUUAUUGCAAUUGUUAAUCUUGAACGAGGAAUUCCUAGUAAACGCGAGUCAUUAGCUCGCAUUGAUUACGUCCCUGCCCUUUGUACACACCGCCCGUCGCACCUACCGAUUGAAUGGUUCGGUGAAGAUCUCGGACUUCGAUAUUUAUUCUUUAUUGAGUUUAUAUUGUGGGAAGUUAUCUAAACCUCAUCAUUUAGAGGAAGGUGAAGUCGUAACA
rnacentral:rRNA from 1 species